AGUGGCGGACGGGUGAGUAACGCGUAGGAAUCUACCUGAUAGUGGGGGAUAGCCCGAAGAAAUUCGGAUUAAUACCGCAUAAUCUAUUCGUAGUAAAGUGGGGGACUUUCGAGCCUCACGCUAUCAGAUGAGCCUGCGUAAGAUUAGCUAGUUGGUAGGGUAAAAGCCUACCAAGGCGACGAUCUUUAGCUGGUCUGAGAGGAUGAUCAGCCACAUCGGGACUGAGACACGGCCCGAACUCCUACGGGAGGCAGCAGUGGGGAAUAUUGGACAAUGGGGGCAACCCUGAUCCAGCAAUACCGCGUGUGUGAAGAAGGCCUGAGGGUUGUAAAGCACUUUCAAUUGUGAAGAAAAGCUAGUGGUUAAUAGCCAUUAGCCUUGACAUUAACUUUAGAAGAAGCACCGGCUAACUCCGUGCCAGCAGCCGCGGUAAUACGGAGGGUGCAAGCGUUAAUCGGAAUUACUGGGCGUAAAGCGUGCGUAGGCGGUUUAUUAAGUCAGAUGUGAAAGCCCCGGGCUUAACCUGGGAACUGCAUUUGAAACUGGUCAACUAGAGUAUGGUAGAGGAAAGUGGAAUUUCUGGUGUAGCGGUGAAAUGCGUAGAUAUCAGAAUGACAUCAAUGGGCGAAGCAACUUUCUGGAACAUACUGACGCUGAGUACGAAGCGUGGGUAGCCAACCGUAUUAGAUACUUGGUUAGU
rnacentral:rRNA from 1 species